rnacentral:tRNA from 1 species
CUAGCGGCGGUGUUGGGUGACACGCUACCCUCGUGGAGAGGGUAGAGUAAGGGGUUCGACUCCCCUCUGCUGGAC